rnacentral:tRNA from 1 species
GCCUUCGUGGUGUAGUGGUCAGCACGCUCGACGUGUAGGUCCGUGGUUCGAGUCCCGGCAAGGGCA